GCCGUAACUAGGGUUCGAAUUCAGGGGAGGCAGGGGUUUGGGGGCGGCCGAUUGAGGCCCUGAAGAAAGGGGUUUGGGGGCGCAGCCCCGCCGAUUUUUUCUCGCAGUAAAAUGGCUAAAAAUGACCAGUUUUCCUUCGAUUUACUUACUUUAAGAAACAUCAGUAUUGCUUGAACCUGGAAGCAAUUUUUAUGCAAAAACAAACUGAACUGAGAUUGCUGUUCGGGGUGAGCCAAGGCUCCGUCUUGAAGGCCGUACUUUGACCUAUAAUUAUUAACAUUAAAUACAUUGUGACCGCGGAUUUUGUUCUCAAUAUGGCUAAAAAUCACGUGUUUUCCUUCGAUUUCCUUACUUUCAGAAACAUAAGUAUUGCUGGAUCCUUGAAGCAAUUUUUAUACAAACAAUUAGUAUCUGUAUUUAAAGAUAUUUUUGUUAGAAAUCAAACUGGUAAGUUAAAAAAAAAAAACCUAUAAAGCAAGAUCAUAGAAAGCAAGAUAUUGUUUUUUGUCGAGGACCUUGAAUUUCAAUAUUGUUGAAAGCUGAACAGACAUGUAUAUAACUACAACCAGGGACUUUCUAAACUGGUAUAUACUUAGUUUAGAAAGUCUUCGCUUCAACGAAUGGGAGUGUUUAACUACUAUUACAUUGACCAUGAUUUUCUCGUACGAUCGGCCGGGAGACGUUUAAAAAUGACCCAACAGCUGAUUCAGCCGGUAACGAAUUUCCGAUAUCAUAAAAGAUUCACAAUACAAAGGGAACUUCCCCUGCUUAAUGGAGCCCCUUAAUAAAUGUGAAUAGUUAAGUUUUAUUCAAAAUUGUCAAAAGCAAAAUUUCAUAUGUGUUCUCGUACGAAUACUGAAUAACAGACGGACGGCCACACGAAAAAAAAUAAUAUUGAAACGGUUCACUUUCGAUAAAAAAUCUGGAAAAUGACAGGUAUAUCACGCAUCAUGAUAACACUGUUAAAACUAUAAACUUGUGUUGUUUAUAAUAUAAAUUCAAGUUCUUCGUGUACAUAUUGUCAAUAUUUCAUUUUAUAACUUCUAAAAAAAAAAUGUUGAUGUAGAAAAUUCAGGAGGAGGCAGUUGCCUCCCCUGCCUCAUAGGUAGUUACGGC
rnacentral:lncRNA from 1 species